rnacentral:rRNA from 1 species
GGUUAAGCGACUAAGCGUACACGGUGGAUGCCCUGGCAGUCAGAGGCGAUGAAGGACGUGCUAAUCUGCGAUAAGCGUCGGUAAGGUGAUAUGAACCGUUAUAACCGGCGAUUUCCGAAUGGGGAAACCCAGUGUGUUUCGACACACUAUCAUUAACUGAAUCCAUAGGUUAAUGAGGCGAACCGGGGGAACUGAAACAUCUAAGUACCCCGAGGAAAAGAAAUCAACCGAGAUUCCCCCAGUAGCGGCGAGCGAACGGGGAGCAGCCCAGAGCCUGAAUCAGUGUGUGUGUUAGUGGAAGCGUCUGGAAAGGCGUGCGAUACAGGGUGACAGCCCCGUACACAAAAAUGCACAUGCUGUGAGCUCGAUGAGUAGGGCGGGACACGUGGUAUCCUGUCUGAAUAUGGGGGGACCAUCCUCCAAGGCUAAAUACUCCUGACUGACCGAUAGUGAACCAGUACCGUGAGGGAAAGGCGAAAAGAACCCCGGCGAGGGGAGUGAAAAAGAACCUGAAACCGUGUACGUACAAGCAGUGGGAGCACGCUUAGGCGUGUGACUGCGUACCUUUUGUAUAAUGGGUCAGCGACUUAUAUUCUGUAGCAAGGUUAACCGAAUAGGGGAGCCGAAGGGAAACCGAGUCUUAACUGGGCGUUAAGUUGCAGGGUAUAGACCCGAAACCCGGUGAUCUAGCCAUGGGCAGGUUGAAGGUUGGGUAACACUAACUGGAGGACCGAACCGACUAAUGUUGAAAAAUUAGCGGAUGACUUGUGGCUGGGGGUGAAAGGCCAAUCAAACCGGGAGAUAGCUGGUUCUCCCCGAAAGCUAUUUAGGUAGCGCCUCGUGAAUUCAUCUCCGGGGGUAGAGCACUGUUUCGGCAAGGGGGUCAUCCCGACUUACCAACCCGAUGCAAACUGCGAAUACCGGAGAAUGUUAUCACGGGAGACACACGGCGGGUGCUAACGUCCGUCGUGAAGAGGGAAACAACCCAGACCGCCAGCUAAGGUCCCAAAGUCAUGGUUAAGUGGGAAACGAUGUGGGAAGGCCCAGACAGCCAGGAUGUUGGCUUAGAAGCAGCCAUCAUUUAAAGAAAGCGUAAUAGCUCACUGGUCGAGUCGGCCUGCGCGGAAGAUGUAACGGGGCUAAACCAUGCACCGAAGCUGCGGCAGCGACGCUGAUGCGUUGUUGGGUAGGGGAGCGUUCUGUAAGCCUGCGAAGGUGUGCUGUGAGGCAUGCUGGAGGUAUCAGAAGUGCGAAUGCUGACAUAAGUAACGAUAAAGCGGGUGAAAAGCCCGCUCGCCGGAAGACCAAGGGUUCCUGUCCAACGUUAAUCGGGGCAGGGUGAGUCGACCCCUAAGGCGAGGCCGAAAGGCGUAGUCGAUGGGAAACAGGUUAAUAUUCCUGUACUUGGUGUUACUGCGAAGGGGGGACGGAGAAGGCUAUGUUGGCCGGGCGACGGUUGUCCCGGUUUAAGCGUGUAGGCUGGUUUUCCAGGCAAAUCCGGAAAAUCAAGGCUGAGGCGUGAUGACGAGGCACUACGGUGCUGAAGCAACAAAUGCCCUGCUUCCAGGAAAAGCCUCUAAGCAUCAGGUAACAUCAAAUCGUACCCCAAACCGACACAGGUGGUCAGGUAGAGAAUACCAAGGCGCUUGAGAGAACUCGGGUGAAGGAACUAGGCAAAAUGGUGCCGUAACUUCGGGAGAAGGCACGCUGAUAUGUAGGUGAGGUCCCUCGCGGAUGGAGCUGAAAUCAGUCGAAGAUACCAGCUGGCUGCAACUGUUUAUUAAAAACACAGCACUGUGCAAACACGAAAGUGGACGUAUACGGUGUGACGCCUGCCCGGUGCCGGAAGGUUAAUUGAUGGGGUUAGCGCAAGCGAAGCUCUUGAUCGAAGCCCCGGUAAACGGCGGCCGUAACUAUAACGGUCCUAAGGUAGCGAAAUUCCUUGUCGGGUAAGUUCCGACCUGCACGAAUGGCGUAAUGAUGGCCAGGCUGUCUCCACCCGAGACUCAGUGAAAUUGAACUCGCUGUGAAGAUGCAGUGUACCCGCGGCAAGACGGAAAGACCCCGUGAACCUUUACUAUAGCUUGACACUGAACAUUGAGCCUUGAUGUGUAGGAUAGGUGGGAGGCUUGGAAGUGUGGACGCCAGUCUGCAUGGAGCCGACCUUGAAAUACCACCCUUUAAUGUUUGAUGUUCUAACGUUGACCCGUAAUCCGGGUUGCGGACAGUGUCUGGUGGGUAGUUUGACUGGGGCGGUCUCCUCCUAAAGAGUAACGGAGGAGCACGAAGGUUGGCUAAUCCUGGUCGGACAUCAGGAGGUUAGUGCAAUGGCAUAAGCCAGCUUGACUGCGAGCGUGACGGCGCGAGCAGGUGCGAAAGCAGGUCAUAGUGAUCCGGUGGUUCUGAAUGGAAGGGCCAUCGCUCAACGGAUAAAAGGUACUCCGGGGAUAACAGGCUGAUACCGCCCAAGAGUUCAUAUCGACGGCGGUGUUUGGCACCUCGAUGUCGGCUCAUCACAUCCUGGGGCUGAAGUAGGUCCCAAGGGUAUGGCUGUUCGCCAUUUAAAGUGGUACGCGAGCUGGGUUUAGAACGUCGUGAGACAGUUCGGUCCCUAUCUGCCGUGGGCGCUGGAGAACUGAGGGGGGCUGCUCCUAGUACGAGAGGACCGGAGUGGACGCAUCACUGGUGUUCGGGUUGUCAUGCCAAUGGCACUGCCCGGUAGCUAAAUGCGGAAGAGAUAAGUGCUGAAAGCAUCUAAGCACGAAACUUGCCCCGAGAUGAGUUCUCCCUGACCCUUUAAGGGUCCUGAAGGAACGUUGAAGACGACGACGUUGAUAGGCCGGGUGUGUAAGCGCAGCGAUGCGUUGAGCUAACCGGUACUAAUGAACCGUGAGGCUUAACCUU